rnacentral:rRNA from 1 species
UACGUAGGGUGCGAGCGUUGUCCGGAAUUACUGGGCGUAAAGAGCUCGUAGGUGGUUUGUCGCGUUGUUCGUGAAAACUCACAGCUUAACUGUGGGCGUGCGGGCGAUACGGGCAGACUGGAGUACUGCAGGGGAGACUGGAAUUCCUGGUGUAGCGGUGGAAUGCGCAGAUAUCAGGAGGAACACCGGUGGCGAAGGCGGGUCUCUGGGCAGUAACUGACGCUGAGGAGCGAAAGCUAGGGGAGCGAACGGG